UGAGGAAUCUUGCGCAAUGGGGGAAACCCUGACGCAGCAACGCCGCGUGAGUGAGGAAGGUCUUCGGGUCGUAAAGCUCUGUCAGGCGGGAAGAAAUGCAUGGAGGUGAACAGCCGCCAUGCUUGACGGUACCGCCAGAGGAAGCACCGGCUAACUCCGUGCCAGCAGCCGCGGGAAUACGGGGGGUGCAAGCGUGGUUCGGAAUCAUUGGGCGUAAAGAGCGUGUAGGCGGCUUGGUAAGUCAGAUGUGAAAGCCCUGGGCUCAACCCGGGAAGUGCAUUUGAAACUGCCAGGCUCGAGUCGGGGAGAGGGAAGUGGAAUUCCUGGUGUAGAGGUGAAAUUCGUAGAUAUCAGGAGGAACACCGGUGGCGAAGGCGACUUCCUGGCCCUAUACUGACGCUGAGACGCGAGAGCGUGGGUAGCAAACAG
rnacentral:rRNA from 1 species